UCCCAGACUCCUACGGGAGGCAGCAGUGGGGGAUAUUGCACAAUGGGGGGAACCCUGAUGCAGCGACGCCGCGUGGGUGAAGAAGCGCCUCGGCGCGUAAAGCCCUGUCAGCAGGGAAGAAAAUGACGGUACCUGAAGAAGAAGCCCCGGCUAACUACGUGCCAGCAGCCGCGGUAAUACGUAGGGGGCAAGCGUUAUCCGGAUUUACUGGGUGUAAAGGGAGCGUAGACGGCAGCGCAAGUCUGAAGUGAAAUGCCGGGGCUUAACCCCGGAACUGCUUUGGAAACUGAGCAGCUAGAGUGCAGGAGAGGUAAGUGGAAUUCCUAGUGUAGCGGUGAAAUGCGUAGAUAUUAGGAGGAACACCAGUGGCGAAGGCGGCCUGCUGGACGACAACUGACGGUGAGGCGCGAAAGCGUGGGGAGCAAACAGGAUUAGAUACCCCCGUAAUG
rnacentral:rRNA from 1 species